UGCUUAACACAUGCAAGUCGAACGAUGAACCACUUCGGUGGGGAUUAGUGGCGAACGGGUGAGUAACACGUGGGCAAUCUGCCCUUCACUCUGGGACAAGCCCUGGAAACGGGGUCUAAUACCGGAUACUGACCUGCCAAGGCAUCUUGGCGGGUCGAAAGCUCCGGCGGUGAAGGAUGAGCCCGCGGCCUAUCAGCUUGUUGGUGAGGUAAUGGCUCACCAAGGCGACGACGGGUAGCCGGCCUGAGAGGGCGACCGGCCACACUGGGACUGAGACACGGCCCAGACUCCUACGGGAGGCAGCAGUGGGGAAUAUUGCACAAUGGGCGAAAGCCUGAUGCAGCGACGCCGCGUGAGGGAUGACGGCCUUCGGGUUGUAAACCUCUUUCAGCAGGGAAGAAGCGAAAGUGACGGUACCUGCAGAAGAAGCGCCGGCUAACUACGUGCCAGCAGCCGCGGUAAUACGUAGGGCGCAAGCGUUGUCCGGAAUUAUUGGGCGUAAAGAGCUCGUAGGCGGCUUGUCACGUCGGUUGUGAAAGCCCGGGGCUUAACCCCGGGUCUGCAGUCGAUACGGGCAGGCUAGAGUUCGGUAGGGGAGAUCGGAAUUCCUGGUGUAGCGGUGAAAUGCGCAGAUAUCAGGAGGAACACCGGUGGCGAAGGCGGAUCUCUGGGCCGAUACUGACGCUGAGGAGCGAAAGCGUGGGGAGCGAACAGGAUUAGAUACCCUGGUAGUCCACGCCGUANACGGUGGGCACUAGGUGUGGGCAACAUUCCACGUUGUCCGUGCCGCAGCUAACGCAUUAAGUGCCCCGCCUGGGGGAGUACGGCCGCAAGGCUAAAACUUCAAGGA
rnacentral:rRNA from 1 species